rnacentral:rRNA from 1 species
UACGAAGGGGGCUAGCGUUGCUCGGAAUCACUGGGCGUAAAGCGCACGUAGGCGGAUCUUUAAGUCAGAGGUGAAAUCCCAAGGCUCAACCUUGGAACUGCCUUGAUACUGGGGAUCUCGAGUCCGGAAGAGGUGAGUGGAACUGCGAGUGUAGAGGUGAAAUUCGUAGAUAUUCGCAAGAACACCAGUGGCGAAGGCGGCUCACUGGCCGGUACUGACGCU